GAGCCAGACUCCUACGGGAGGCAGCAGUGAGGAAUAUUGGUCAAUGGGCGCGAGCCUGAACCAGCCAAGUCGCGUGAGGGAUGACGGCCCUACGGGUUGUAAACUUCUUUUGUCAGGGAGCAAUUGAGUCCACGUGUGGGCUUAGCGAGAGUACCUGAAGAAAAAGCAUCGGCUAACUCCGUGCCAGCAGCCGCGGUAAUACGGAGGAUGCGAGCGUUAUCCGGAUUUAUUGGGUUUAAAGGGUGCGUAGGCGGAACAUUAAGUCAGCGGUAAAAUCGAGGGGCUCAACCCCUUUAAGCCGUUGAAACUGGUGAUCUUGAGUGGGCGAGAAGUAUGCGGAAUGCGUGGUGUAGCGGUGAAAUGCAUAGAUAUCGCGCAGAACUCCGAUUGCGAAGGCAGCAUGCCGGCUCCACACUGACGCUGAGGCACGAAAGCGUGGGUAUCGAACAGGAUUAGAUACCCGCGUA
rnacentral:rRNA from 1 species